rnacentral:rRNA from 1 species
GUCGAGAAUAAUUCACAAUGGACGAAAGUCUGAUGGUGCAACGCCGCGUGGAGGAUGAAGGUCUUCGGAUUGUAAACUCCUGUCAUCGGGGAGUAAGACCUGGCGGUAAAUAGCCGACAGGGUUGAUAGUACCCGAAGAGGAAGGGACGGCUAACUUCGUGCCAGCAGCCGCGGUAAUACGAAGGUCCCAAGCGUUGUUCGGAAUCACUGGGCGUAAAGGGAGCGUAGGCUGCGCGGUAAGUCAGGUGUGAAAUCCCGGGGCUCAACCCCGGAACUGCACCCGAUACUGCCGUGCUAGAGGGUUGGAGAGGUGACUGGAAUUCUCGGUGUAGCAGUGAAAUGCGUGGAUAUCGAGAGGAACACUCGUGGCGAAGGCGAGUCACUGGACAACAUCUGACGCUGAGGCUCGAAGGCCAGGGGAGCAAAAGGGAUUAGAAACCCUUGUAGUCC